rnacentral:tRNA from 1 species
AACAAUAAAGCAUAACACUAAUGCAUCAAUUUGCAAAAUUGAAAACUGUAAUUACACUUACUAUUGUUU